rnacentral:rRNA from 1 species
UACGUAGGGCGCAAGCGUUGUCCGGAAUUAUUGGGCGUAAAGAGCUCGUAGGCGGCCUGUUGCGUCCGCUGUGAAAUCCCGGGGCUCAACCCCGGGCUUGCAGUGGAUACGGGCUGGCUAGAGGCAGGCAGGGGAGAAUGGAAUUCCCGGUGUAGCGGUGAAAUGCGCAGAUAUCGGGAGGAACACCGGUGGCGAAGGCGGUUCUCUGGGCCUUACCUGACGCUGAGGAGCGAAAGCGUGGGGAGCGAACCGG